CUCCAUGAGGUGUAAAAAGCACAAGAACAAGUCGUUGAGAGCCCCCAUUGGGAACCGAAGAGAUGGCAGGUGACGGAGAGCAGAGGUCCUCUAAGGUGCAUCUGCUCCCCCCCCCCCCACCCCACCCCUGGUAACCAACAGCAACCAACAGGGGGGGGGUGCUCCCGGGCGACCCGAAGACGCCCACUCCGUCAGGACGCCGGCCGCAACGCUCGCAUGAAACGGCCGUGGAAGAAAAGAAAUGCACAACGACAGCGACCCCCGGAAGAACCUGGUCCCCCACCAGCCCUGCUCGGUGGUGGGAGACCGCCACUAACCAGCUCACUAACUAGCUGACAAAGCCCUACCCUGACCCAGUCCUCCCCCCCCCACCCCAGUCCACCAG
ensembl:lncRNA